GUUUCUAUCUGCCGGACUGGGGAGUUUAGGACCCUGGGUUGGUGGGGUCAGAAGGAGCUCGGGGCUCCUUGCUCUGGGACUGCUGGGCCUGCUGGGGUGCUGGGCGCCUCGUGUGUGGCCCCCGGAACAGAUUUCUGAUCCCUACCCUGGGUGUGACCACUGAUGGAGCAAGAGCAAAAGCUGUUGGUCUCAGAUUCUAGUGGCUGCAAGGAGAGGGAGAGUUUGAAAAGCCCUUUUACAGGAGAUGAAAGUGAGAAUAAUUUGGAAACUGCUCCACACAAUAACUCCACGGCAGAGAAAGAGAGAGCCUCUGAAUGGUCUAAAAGAGAUGGCCUGCAAAAUUGUGAGCAUGAGAAUACAAAAGAAAUACCGUUGACAUGGUCCCAAGGAGAUGAGAUCUGGUGUAAUGAUUCCUGUGAGAACGAUGGCAAAUCAGAGAAUCAGGGAAACUCUACAGGAAAAGAUGAAAAACCCAGUCACUGGAGUUGGGACCAAGGGGAACACUGCAGUGCCUCUGCCCAGCAGAAUUCGACCUUCAGAGACAAACCCUACAAGUGCUCUGAAUGUUGGAAAAGCUUCAGUAACAGUUCUCAUUUGCGUAUUCACCAGAGGACCCACUCAGGAGAAAAACCUUAUAAGUGCUCUGAGUGUGGGAAAUGCUUCAGUAAUAGCUCUCACCUGAUUCAACAUCUGAGGACACACACGGGAGAGAAACCCUACCAGUGUGGUGAAUGUGGGAAAAGCUUCAGCAAUACCUCCCAUCUCAUUAUCCAUGAGAGGACCCACACAGGAGAGAAGCCCUAUAAAUGUCCUGAGUGCGGGAAAAGCUUUAGUAGCAGCUCCCACCUGAUUCAACACCACAGAUCACAUACCGGUGAAAAACCAUAUGAAUGUCCUGUGUGUGGGAAAUGCUUCAGCCACAGUUAUGUCCUAAUAGAACAUCAGAGGAUUCACACCGGAGAAAAACCUUAUAAGUGCCCUGACUGCGGAAAGAGUUUUAGUCAGAGUUCGAGCCUGAUUCGCCACCAGCGGACACACACAGGUGAGAAGCCCUACAGAUGUCUUGAGUGUGGAAAAAGCUUUGGUUGUAAUUCGACCCUAAUAAAGCAUCAGAGAAUUCAUACGGGAGAAAAACCGUAUCCAUGUACAGAAUGCGGGAAGAGUUUCAGUCGAAGUUCAAACCUAAUUACACACCGGAAAACCCACAUGGGAGAAAAGCCCUAUGAGAGUUCCGAAUAUGAAGAAAGCUUGAGUCAGAACUGCAGUGUGGUGGAAGAAUGCGGACUCCAGCCAGGGGAGAAACCAUACAAAUGUUGUGAGUGUGGAAAGCGUUUUGGUCUCAGCUCCCAUCUCAUUCGACAUCAGAGAACGCAUACGGGAGAAAAACCUUACCGGUGUUCGGAGUGUUGGAAAACUUUUAGUCAGAGUUCCACCCUGGUGAUUCACCAAAGGACGCACACAGGAGAGAGACCUUAUAAGUGUCCUGACUGCGGCGAGUGCUUCAGUCAGAGCUUUAAUCUUAUCAGGCACCGGAGGACUCAUAUGGGAGAAAAACCUUACAAAUGCACUGACUGUGAGAAGUGCUUCAGCAGAAGUGCCUAUCUCAAUCAGCAUCGGAAGAUCCACACAGAAAAGUCUUUUGAGUGUCCCGAAGUUGAAGGCUUUCCUCAUGGGUGGACUUGGAAAAACUGUUCAGGGGAAAUGGCCCUCAUCUCUUCUUUUUCAGUCCCAAAUCCAUCUUCCUCUUGAGUCCCAAAGCCUAUUUGUUUAUUUAUUUUUCCUUUUCUUACUGGGCCAUUUUAAUGAAGGUAUUGCUGCAAAGUUUCUUUGGUGUUUUUGCCAUAAUGUCUGGAAGAGUCAACCUCCCAGGUUAGAGGAUGGGAAGGCCCUGAUCCCCAGCUCAUUACAUGCGCCCAGGGAGAGACGCUGCCACUGAUGGAGAAGAAAUGUAUUUUGAUUAAGGAUCAGCGAAGAGUCUCUUUGGGUUGCAUCGUUUAAGAACUACUUGGACUUUUCCUUGUGGGGCCCCAGGCGCAAUUCCAGUAGAUGGCGCUAGAAGCUGCUCUAAGAUCUAGGGAAGUGCUCCUGAUGCCCAAAGCCUGGAAGUAAGUACUAGAAAAAUGGUUGGGAAAGGGCUGGCUACUUAGUUUAAUACCUCCUGUCACCUGAUUCAGAGAACAAAGUGCACCCCAAAUCUAGGAGACGUAGGUAAAUUCAGGUUUGGCAAGUGGAUGAGUAUCUUUUUGUUUGUAAAAUUGAUGUUGUGGAAAAAGCACAUUGGAAGCUUGUGAAGAUACCAGGUGACACUGCUCAGAAGACUGGAAUCCUCAUCUUUCCCGUCCUACUGUCAUCAACAAUUCAGUGAAAAACUUGUAUUGUCAGCUGCAGGGAUCGAUGUUUUAGUAAGGGGAAAACAACCGCAGUGUGGGAAAGGGGGAAAAGAAAUCUAAGGUGUGAUCAUUGCCAUCACCAGAGGUUACUAAUUCUUCCAACCUCAGCUUAAACGUAACUUCCUCUGGGAGGCCUUCCCUGACGCCUGGGUUCGUUUAGAUCUUCUUACCCUCCAGUCCAACAUGUACUUGCUCAUUUUUGGGCAUAUAUCACAUCCUUAACUACCUGUAUGCUGCUAUCUUCUCCAUUAAACUCUGAACCCCCAUGUGACAGGUACUGUGCCUGCUCUGUUCAGUGCUUUACUCCCAAUACCAAGCACAGUGCCUGACACAAAGUAGACACUUGAUACACGUUUAUUACAUUGAAUUACAUUGAUGUCUAUACUGUAUGGCUUUAUGAGCAGUAUUCAAGAAGAAAAAGAAGAUGAAAACACAGUUCCAAAUUCCAACUAGAAUUUGCAAAAGAUUACAUAAGCACUGAGGGGAAGCAGAACAAUUAAAUGACUGGCACUAAAAGUCUAUGGACUGGUGGAAUGGUGAGCAAGUGACUCUUGAGGUUUUGAUAAAAUGUGUCACAAACAAAAAUAUUAAUGAAAAAGAGACCGCUCAGUUUGUACCAAAAAAAAAAAAAAGGUAUAAAAUGAAGAAAGGAAAGUUAACAAAUAUAAAUCAGUGACUGCAAUGGCCAAGAGGUGGAGUUACAAAAGGAGAUGAUGAUUAAUCUGCAUCUGAAAGAAUGGAUAAGUGAAGAAAGGAGGGCAAGGCUUUUCCUUGAAUGGAGAAUGCUAAAAGAAUGGAUAAGUGAAGAAAGGAGGGCAAGGCUUUUCCUUGAAUGGAGAAUGGCACUUGAAAAGGCACAAGUCCAGUCCUGACAUGCCAAAUGAGGCCAACAGGGAGAGUAGAGGUGUCACUGGAAGAUCAAAUGUGCUCUUUGUUUGUUUUCAGGUAACUAGAUCUUUGUAGGGGGAGGGAAAAAAAUGCAUUCUAGUCGAACAAUCCCAGAUUCCUGAGCCAGAUUUAUUUCCUUCCUUCCUUCCUUCCUUCCUUCCUUCCUUCCUUCCUU